AGUGAACGCUGGCGGUAUGCCUAACACAUGCAAGUCGAACGGCAGCACAGUAAGAGCUUGCUCUUACGGGUGGCGAGUGGCGGACGGGUGAGGAAUACAUCGGAAUCUACUUUUUCGUGGGGGAUAACGUAGGGAAACUUACGCUAAUACCGCAUACGACCUACGGGUGAAAGCAGGGGAGCUUCGGACCUUGCGCGAUUGAAUGAGCCGAUGUCGGAUUAGCUAGUUGGCGGGGUAAAGGACCACCAAGGCGACGAUCCGUAGCUGGUCUGAGAGGAUGAUCAGCCACACUGGAACUGAGACACGGUCCAGACUCCUACGGGAGGCAGCAGUGGGGUAUAGUGGACAAUGGGCGCAAGCCUGAUCCAGUCAUACCGCGUGGGUGAAGAAGGCCUUCGGGUUGUAAAGCCCUUUUGUUGGGAAAGAAAAGCAGCAGGUUAAUACCCCGCUGUUCUGACGGUACCCAAAGAAUAAGCACCGGCUAACUUCGUG
rnacentral:rRNA from 1 species